CUCCCUUGAAUAAUAGAAGUACUGUACAAAUCUUGGUUUUGAGUCCAAUGGUUAAAGAAGAGAACAUCGUUCCACGAGGCUACGAAGACCAGGUCACCUACAUAUUUCUGCCCAUAUCUAAUGCAGACAAUACAGCCGGGGCCGAUUAAAGAUAUCUAUACGCAAUCUACGCCCCAGAUGUGGACCUUUAAAUCAUGACUGACAAUUUUUUGUUGAGCUGAUGAGUACUUCAACACAAAGUAUCGUCGAAACAAUUUACGUAUCCUGCAGAACUUGAUGCAUUAAUUAGUGUUGCUGUUGUUGUUGGUAUUUGCUGGAUGGUACUUUUGAUACCGUUUCUUGUAGACAGCGAACAACAUAAUUGCAACAACAACAACAACA